rnacentral:RNase_P_RNA from 1 species
AGUAAAUUGAGCAGUCGCGGGUAUUUUACCGAAAGGUUGUACGCGAGGAAAGUCCGAGCUCCACAGAGCAAGAUAACGGCUAACGGCCGCCGGGGGCAACCCUAGGGAUAGUGCAACAGAAAUAUACCGCCAACUUUGGUAAGGAUGGAAAGGCGAGGUAAGAGCUCACCAGCGCACGGGAGACUGUGCGGCUAUGUAAACCCUAUCUGGAGCAACACCGCAAAUAAGACAUUUAUGUGCCUGCUCGGUAUGUCUUAAAGGUGGCACUGAGCUAAAUGGUAACAUUUAGCCAAGAUAGAUGACUGCUUUAAACAGAACUCGGCUUAUAGAUUUAGU